AAUGAACGCUGGCGGCAGGCCAACACAUGCAAGUCGAACGGAUCCUUCGGGAUUAGUGGCGGACGGGUGAGUAACGCGUGGGAACAUACCCUUUGGUACGGAAUAGCCUCGGGAAACUGGGAGUAAUACCGUAUGUGGUCGAGAGACGAAAGAUUUAUCACCAAAGGAUUGGCCCGCGUUGGAUUAGGUAGUUGGUGGGGUAAUGGCCUACCAAGCCGACGAUCCAUAGCUGGUUUGAGAGGAUGAUCAGCCACACUGGGACUGAGACACGGCCCAGACUCCUACGGGAGGCAGCAGUGGGGAAUCUUGGACAAUGGGGGAAACCCUGAUCUAGCCAUGCCGCGUGAUCGAUGAAGGCCUUAGGGUUGUAAAGAUCUUUCAGGUGGGAAGAUAAUGACUGUACCACCAGAAGAAGCCCCGGCUAACUCCGUGCCAGCAGCCGCAGUAA
rnacentral:rRNA from 1 species